UAGGGAAUCUUCCGCAAUGGACGCAAGUCUGACGGAGCAACGCCGCGUGAGUGAAGAAGGAUUUCGGUUCGUAAAACUCUGUUGUUAGAGAAGAACAGCGCAUAGAGUAACUGUUAUGCGUGUGACGGUAUCUAACCAGAAAGGGACGGCUAACUACGUGCCAGCAGCCGCGGUAAUACGUAGGUCCCGAGCGUUGUCCGGAUUUAUUGGGCGUAAAGCGAGCGCAGGCGGUUAGAUAAGUCUGAAGUUAAAGGCAGUGGCUCAACCAUUGUAGGCUUUGGAAACUGUUUAACUUGAGUGCAGAAGGGGAGAGUGGAAUUCCAUGUGUAGCGGUGAAAUGCGUAGAUAUAUGGAGGAACACCGGUGGCGAAAGCGGCUCUCUGGUCUGUAACUGACGCUGAGGCUCGAAAGCGUGGGGAGCGAACAG
rnacentral:rRNA from 1 species